CAGCGCCACAAGUGGGGACCAGUAUUAUUGGGCCUAAAGCGUCCGUAGCCGGAUAAGUAAAUCCUUUGUGAAAUCGUGGGGCUCAACCUUACGGCGUGCAGAGGAGACUGCUUAUCUUGAGACCGGGAGGAGUCAGAGGUAUGCAUGGGGUAGUGGUAAAAUGCAAUAAUCCCAUGUGGACCACCUGUGGCGAAGGCGUCUGACUAGAACGGCUCUGACGGUGAGGGACGAAAGCUGGGGGAGCGAUCCGGAUUAGAUACCCGAGUAGUCC
rnacentral:rRNA from 1 species